rnacentral:lncRNA from 1 species
GCCGUGACCAAGUGGGCCGGCUGUGUAGCACAGUGUGUUUUCUUUUUUUCCUUUUUGUUUAAAAAUACUUGAUAUGUGAAAUUGUGUAGAAAACUGUAUACUGCUUCAAAAAUCAAGGAAAUUUUUGUAUAGAUUCCCUAAAAUGAGUAGAACACAGAAAAAAUAUUAGCUUCUAUUUUCUAGUAGUUUGCAUGUAUAUAAAAAUUGCCUCUUUUAAUUGGUA